rnacentral:lncRNA from 1 species
GAUGAGUCUGAAUGAAAAUCUGAUGAAACAGAUGUUACUUGAAGCUGAGUGACUUUCUCAGGGUCAAGCAAAUAAGUAAAUGCAGGAGCCAGAAUUAUACCCCAGGAUCCCCAUCACAAGGAGGGGAGGGCUACCAUCCCAGCUGCAAACUCUCAUUCAAAGUUUAUGCUGCAGCCAGCAGUGUCCUUGGAGUCUAGUUCAAAGCUGAAGAGAGUGAACCAUGGAACUGGGAGCCAUUGGCGGAGAGGCUGGCCUGAAGGAAGGGAAGUGUUUCAGCCAGAAUGCACUGACGCACAACCAGGAAACCACAAGACUGAGUAACUACCAGUUGCCAUGAAAUAAAUCACAUCAUCAUAUGGCAGAUCCAGCUAAUAGCUGAGACUGGCAGGAUAACUGAACCGUGUCCUCAGAGCUAAAUGAUGGAGAAAUUGGACUGGCCAUGGAGCACUUCAAAUUGAUUGCUUAGUAAUGGGAUAUUUUUCCUGGAAAGACAACAG